GAUGAACGCUGGCGGCGUGCCUAACACAUGCAAGUCGAGCGAAGCACUUUAAUUUGAUUCUUCGGAUGAGGAUUUUAGUGACUGAGCGGCGGACGGGUGAGUAACGCGUGGGCAACCUGCCUUACACAGGGGGAUAACAGUUAGAAAUGACUGCUAAUACCGCAUAAGACCACAGUACUGCAUGGUGCAGUGGUAAAAACUCCGGUGGUGUAAGAUGGGCCCGCGUCUGAUUAGGUAGUUGGCGGGGUAACGGCCCACCAAGCCGACGAUCAGUAGCCGACCUGAGAGGGUGACCGGCCACAUUGGGACUGAGACACGGCCCAG
rnacentral:rRNA from 1 species